GACUCUCGGCAACGGAUAUCUUGAUUCUCGCAUCGAUGGAGAACGUAGCAAAAUGCGAUACCUGGUGUGAAUUGCAGAAACCCACAAACCAUCGAGUUUUUGAACGCAAGUUGCGCCCGAGACCUUCUAGCUGAGAGCACGUCUGCCUGGGUGCAC
rnacentral:rRNA from 1 species